ACUCAAAGGAAUUGACGGGGGCCCGCACAAGCGGUGGAACAUGUGGUUUAAUUCGACACUACGCGAGGAACCUUACCUGGGUUUGACAUGUACUUGACCGUCGUAGAAAUACGAUCUUUUGGAUUUCGGUUCAAACAGGUACACAGGUGCUGCAUGGCUGUCGUCAGCUCGUGUCGUGAGAUGUUGGGUUAAGUCCUCUAACGAGCGCAACCCCUGUCGUCAGUUGCAACUGCAUUAGCAAGGCACUCUGACGAGACUGCCUGGGAAACCAGGAGGAAGGUGGGGAUGACGUCAAGUCCUCAUGGCCCUUAUGUCCAGGGCGACACACAUGUUACAAUGGCUAGUACAAAGGGCUGCGAGCCUGUAAAGGCAAGCUAAUCCCAUAAAGCUAGUCUCAGUUCGGAUUGGGGUCUGCAACUCGACCCCAUGAAGCUGAAAUCGCUAGUAAUCGCGUAUCAGCAACGACGCGGUGAAUACGUUCUCGGGCCUUGUACACACCGCCCGU
rnacentral:rRNA from 1 species